GAUUGAAUAUUUCAGAAGUGAACUCUGGAAGAAAAAGGGAUUCGAUUUGUUCAAGAGGGUCAGUACACGCAAGCUCUUAGUCUGUUUACAGAGGCCAUCAAAUGUGACCCGAAAGACUACAGGUUUUUUGGAAAUCGCUCCUACUGCUAC